AUUGAACGCUGGCGGCAGGCCUAACACAUGCAAGUCGAGCGGAGCGGCGGUCGGGUGAGUAAUGCCUAGGACUCUGCCUGGUAGUGGGGGAUAACGUCCGGAAACGGGCGCUCAUACCGCAUACUAUCAGAUGAGCCUAGGUCGGAUUAGCUAGUUGGUGGGGUAAAGGCCUACCAAGUCGACGAUCCGUAACUGGUCGGAGAGGAUGAUCAGUCACACUGGAACGGAGACACGGUCCAGACUCCUACGGGAGGCAGCAGUGGGGAAUAGUGGACAAUGGGCGAAAGCCUGAUCCAGCCAUGCCGCGUGUGUGAAGAAGGUCGUCGGAUUGUAAAGCACUUUAAGUUGGGAGGCGUUACCAACAGAAUAAGCACCGGCUAACUUCGUGCCAGCAGCCGCGGUAAUUC
rnacentral:rRNA from 1 species